UGCACAUCGACUUCUCAGUUUUUUGCACUCAUUCGGCACUUGGUACAAAAUGGGUAUAAGACUGACCAUAACUAUUGAAAUCAAGCUUAAAUGCACUACAGGUGUGACCAGCAGUGAUAAUGCCAGCGGGAAACGGCAGGAUUAGCAAUGACCAGGGGGCUGGGAAGUGGGCUGACCAUUUUCAAGGUUGGCAUAUGGCCCUUUUGACCUUGUAAGGGCAAGAAAUAAACUUGCAAUGACAAGUGGGGGAUAGAACUUAAUUUCUGUGUGGGGUCAAUAUUAAAACACCAUUUUAUUUUCAAAGGAAAAAUAUAUUUUCACUUAAGUUAUUCUGACUACAGCUGAUGAGUCAGCUGGCCUUUUCUUUCUUUUCUUGGUAUAUAUUGCUCUCAAAAACAAUCUCCUGUGGUGAGAAAAGCCUAAGUGAAAUGAUAGAAUGUAAAAUAAUCCAAACCUAUUCUAGAGGACUAAUGACCAGAUCUUAUUCCAUGCGGAUAAGCGUGGCUGGAUAGUGGGAAAUCUUGAAAUUACGAAGAGUCUCAUUCAAUAGAUUUCAUGAAGUGUAUGACCUCAGUCUGACCGCAUCAACAAAGAUUCUAUUUUUUUUUUUUUUUUUUUUUCGCUGAACUCUAUCAAGGUAGCUUGAUCAAUGUUUUAAUGGAAUGAACUGUGCAAUAUCUGCUAUUUAAAUCCUUUUCUAAUUUGUGUUUUUAUUUUUUUUGGUUUUUAUUUUGUUUGUUCCUCUUGAUAGUUUGAUAUAAAUCAGACUUUUCACCUGUUUUUUCUUCCAGUGGUGUUUAGACGUGGGAGGUUGCAAGUCAGUAUUAUUUAUUUGAAGACUAUAUAAAUAUAUAUAUAAUUUUUUUCUUUUUAGUAGCCAGCCGUUCAUUACCUCCAGUGCCCUGCCAACCUUAAAACAGCACCCAGUAAAAUGCUGUGGCCUGGGAUCUUUCUGGUUUGGUGUCUCCCCCCCCCCCCUUGAAAUGAAAGGUGUAAAGUAUAGGAUGAAACCACCCAUAACAAUACAUGUGGUUUGGCAAUUCUUCUCUUAGGGCAGAGUUCUUGAUUUAAUAUACUUUCUUCCCUGCCCUCUAAAACGUGUAGUAAAAAUUAAAAAGAUUUUGCUUUGUGCACUAUUCAGUGCAUCUGUCAUUUAACCUUUUAUAAUUAUUUUUUUACCUUAAAGUCCUAUUUACCAUUGUGAAUUACAGAAAAUAAGGUUUUGGAACCUCCUUUUGUGUUAGCCAACUGCUUAAAUUAUGCAGAAGGCCCAAAUACCAUGAAUGCUAACCUUUAGAUUAAAAUGAUUCCAGCACUGGGCACGGUAGAAAUGAACUGGUUAGGCAACCCCACAUAUAUUAAUUUGUGCUGUGCACAG